UACGGAGGGAGCUAGCGUUAUUCGGAAUUACUGGGCGUAAAGCGUACGUAGGCGGCUUUGUAAGUUAGAGGUGAAAGCCUGGAGCUCAACUCCAGAACUGCCUUUAAAACUGCAUCGCUUGAAUCCAGGAGAGGUGAGUGGAAUUCCGAGUGUAGAGGUGAAAUUCGUAGAUAUUCGGAAGAACACCAGUGGCGAAGGCGGCUCACUGGACUGGUAUUGACGCUGAGGUACGAAAGCGUGGGGAAGCAAACAGGG
rnacentral:rRNA from 1 species